rnacentral:lncRNA from 1 species
CACAACAGGGGCACGCAUAACGACCCUUGGUACUCCAACCGGAUAAAUUGGCAUAAGCGGGGAAGUCAUUAAUGGUCCACAUCAAAGCUGCACGUAAAUUAAAGUUCUCCUUUCUCAGCACAUCGUAUGUCUCGACACCAGCCCAUAAUUAUUUUAACUCUUCAAUAAGUGGCUGUAAAUAAAUGUCGAUAUCAUUCCCGGGCCCUUUCUCUCCAGGGAUAAUCAUAGAUAAGAUAAGGGAAGAUUGCUUCAUGCAAAUCCAUGGAGGCAGAUUGUAAGGAACAAGCAC